AAAAUUCUAGUUUCCAAACAAGGGGUUAGGAUUUUGCUGUUUCUGUUUCAAAUUUAUAAAAUUAAUGUUGGAAGUUUAGUAGUUUACUUCAACUUUUUAGUUCACCAGAGUUUAGAUAACUUGUACAAUUAUUAAAGAUUGCAUAAUAGGGUUUCUUUGAGAAAAAUGUGAUGAUAUGUUGUUUCAUGUGCAUAUUCAUGUUGUUCUUUGGUUUAUCUUUUCAGUAAAGUGUAGUUAGCACCUGAUUUGUUAUAGAUUAUGGCUUUACUUUUGCUUUGUAUGCAAAAAAAUUAGGGUUAAAAACUUCUGGUUAGCAUACAUUGAGAGAAUCUGUUUGAAUUUGAACAGGUCCUUGAUUAAUUCGAUCAGUGUCUAUCAUUGCCCUGGAACACAUCGCUGCAAGCUUAACUACAUGCUUAUAGAGAGUGCAAAUUAUUAUCCCAUUUUUCAAAAUUUUUCUCCUAUGAUCUUUUAAUAAUUCAGGAUUCCCUUUUUUUUUUGUUGGGGGUGUGGGGAAAGGAAUGAGAGGAGUGUGGUUUGUUGAGGUAAAUAAUUAUGGCCAUAUUGAAUCUCUUCCAAAUUCACAUUUUAUUUGUUCAAACAAAUCUAACUGAUUUCUUUUCUAGUUUUAGAAAUAAUGACCUCUUCACAAUAGUUAAAAAAAUAUGUAUUUCUUCAUUUAUCAAUGCAAAUGAAUCUCUUGUGUCACUCUCGACAUGUGGAUAUUUUAAUCUUAACAUAUUCCAAUAUCAUCAAUCCUGCCAUAAACUUUCUGAGUUUGGCCUUCCUACUGCAUUCCACUAUUUUUCAGAGGUUACUGUUGCCAGUGGUUUGCAAUACAAUCAUGCUAGAAUUGCUAUCGGUUUCAAUAAAUAAAAUCACUCGGAAGGUUGUGUUGUAUUGAAUGUGACAUGACAAUGUCAAAAUAUGCUCAUUUGGCCUCCGCCCAUUUCAGUCCAACAUUUUUUCUUCAGAUGAUAAAAGGCCACAUGUGUUAUUCUAGUUCAUUUGUUAUUUGUUUUGCAAUGUUUCAUCAUUUCAUGGUUUCUAGAUUGAAGGGAUGGGCCAUGGGUUUGGGGCUUGGAAUAGCAAGCGAGGAGAAGGCUGCAUAAGAUGGAUGACUGAUAACCCACUUCCAGUUCUCACCAAGCAAAGAGCUUUUUGCACCGGGGAUCACUUAAAAAAGUCUAACAAGCAUAAAAAUGAAGGCAAGAAAAGAGGAGGUGGUUUUAGCAAAUUAUGUAUUCUUUCCCCUCAACUUCAGGAAUUCCUUGGGGUGCCUCAAUUAGCUAGAACUAAGGUUGUCAAUCAACUUUGGAUUUACAUUAGAGAAAAAAAUUUGCAAGACCCAGAUAAUCGGCGGUACAUAAUUUGUGAUGAACCAUUACGUGCCCUUUUUGGUGUUGAUUGUAUCAACAUGUUUCAAAUGAAUAAAGCCCUAUCAAAGCAUAUUUGGCCCUUGGAUUCAGAUGGUGGUAUGCUACUACAUCCUUAGUUUUAAAACAUAGAUCAAUAUUAUUAUUAUUCUAAAUGUGGAUAUGGAACAUCUUUGUAGUGUACCCUUUAGUAAGCUAUGGGUAACUAUCUGUGACCCUUGUAAGUCUUAAGAUGAAAACUUCUCAUAUAGGUUCCUUGAUUUCAGAAAUAUUUAUUUUAUUGAUUUUACCUGUAAAUCUGCAAAAUACUGUGAAUGCUAUCAUUAAUUUAAUUUCCCCAUUUUUAGCAUCAACAAAUUUAUGUGUGUGCUUACAACAUCUGUUUUACUUUUUUUUAUGACAAAGUUGUUCCAGCCAAGUCAGCACCAAAGGAAAAGCAGCGUAAGCAAGAGAGAGAAGAAGGUAGCAAAUGAAGUUAUUUUCCAAAUUAUUUCAUGUGCAUUCUUCAAAAGAUGAAUUAAGCUAAUACAAGUACUUAGUUUGAUCCUGUUUAUAUGGACCUCAUCACCCCUUGCGUAGUACAACAACUUGGGAUCAAAACUUAAUCUUACCCCUUUCAUUUGAUUUAAAUUCAGAAUUUAAUAUUAGCUAGGUCUUAUGCUAUAGUGCACUUGACAGAAACUGUUCUGUUAUAUCUAUUGCUUGAAGCUUUGCUUUAUGCCUGUUGUUUGCUUUCAAAUGUAAAAGUUUUCCCUUCAUUUUGACUCAUUUUUCACAUGAGGUUGACUCGGUAUUUCACUGAGAUUUACUUGAUGCAAUAUCCACUUAGCAAAAGCAUUUGAAAUGCAGUAACGUUUUAUGAUCUUUAUGACAUAUUGUGACCAAAAUAAUUGUACAUGUUGGCAAAUGAUUUCAUUUCCUUAGCUCUUGUCACAAUAUUAGCAGUAAGUUGCUUUUUAGUGGUCAUAUGGAACCUUCUAUUAACCUUAACUACAUGUCAGAGCCAGAUGAGCCAAAAAGAAAAGAAAAAAGACAAAAGGAAGAAAAAUUGGGUUUUCUUGCUCCCCUUCAACUUUCAGAUGCUCUAGUAAAGUUCUUUGGUACCGGAGAAAGUGUGUUAUCACGAGCUGAUGUUGUCAAGAGAAUUUGGGAGUACAUAAAGCAGAACAACCUCCAGGUAUGUGGUUGUGGGCUUGAAGCCCUUAAUGUACUACAUGAUGUGGUACUUGUUGGUAAUCCACCUUAACUUGUGCACUAUUAAAUGCUUGUAAGCAAUAGAUGAGUGCUUUUGUGCAAAGUUUUCUUUUAUACAUUUAAUUUUUCUCACAACACAAAAAUAUUAUGACACCUAAAAUAUUCCUCACUCUCAAAAUAAUCUGUUUCAUCAUUUCUGCUCAUUUAUCUUUAGAUCUUGAGAUGCAUAUGAGGUUGUCAUUUUUUCUGAAAGUAGGGAGCAGAAUUAAUGUGAAUAGUGCAAUAACUGGACUAAUAUAAUCGAAAUGUUAAACUGAGGUUAGAUUUCAGAAUAAUUGAUGUGGUUCUCUGAAGUGGGCACCUAGAGGAUUAUAAUUUUGGUUUAAAAUUAUAUUAUCAACUAAUCUGCAAAGGUUAAAGACGUGCUUUAAUUUGUUUAGAAAGGGAAAACCAAAACAAUUUUUCCAGAUGAGAUUCCAAUUGUUAAAGGUUAUUAUCUGUGUAAUGUUACUGUUUUGACAACCAUAUCAAGAUUAACCAUUAAAUGGGGGCAUUGUGUUAAGUUGGCCUUAUGAUGUACAAUCUGUAGCUAUUUUUUUAAUACUGUCAUCCUUGAGAAUGACUUUGCAUUACAGUAAGGGGUUAGCCUUUUGAGUGCUGAUCUCAAUCCCACAACAAGGUUGCCUGAAAUUCUAACUACCUGCAAAUUGGAUUUAUGUGAAACCUUUCUAUUGGGAAUUAAUAGAAAAUAUUAGGUAAAGAAACUUGAGGAUAGUGUUUAUAGAGAUGCUUAGUAUUUUCGCAGCUUUGUUUUAACCUGUAGCUAAAGCCGUUCUUUGCUUAUUUGAAGGACCCAUCUGACAAGAGGAGAGUAAUAUGUGAUUAGAAGCUGAAAGAACUCUUUGAUGUCGACUCCUUCAAUGGCUUUACAGUUUCAAAGCUCCUAUCUGCUCAUUUCGUAAAGACCUAAUGCUGAGUUGCUACUGCAUAUUUCCCAGUUCUGACUAAGCUCAAGAGGAAAUAGGGUAUUCCCUGCAAUUUGUCCAAAAUUUUC
rnacentral:misc_RNA from 1 species